UACGUAGGGUGCAAGCGUUGUCCGGAAUUAUUGGGCGUAAAGAGCUCGUAGGCGGUUCGUUAAGUCAGCUGUGAAAAGCCCCGGGCUCAACCUGGGAACUGCGGUUGAAAACUGGCGAACUAGAAUCUGGCAGAGGGGGGGUGGAAUUCCACGUGUAGCAGUGAAAUGCGUAGAAGAUGUGGAGGAACACCGAUGGCGAAGGCAGCCCCCCUGGGCUGAGAUUGACGCUCAGGCACGAAAGCGUGGGGAGCAAACAGG
rnacentral:rRNA from 1 species